GACGAACGCUGGCGGCGUGCCUAACACAUGCAAGUCGAACGGGGUAAUGACUUCGGUUAUUACUUAGUGGCGAACGGGUGAGUAACGCGUGAGAAACCUGCCUUUCAGUGGGGGACAACAGUUGGAAACGACUGCUAAUACCGCAUAAGACCACAGUGCCGCAUGGCACAGGGGUCAAAGGAGUAAUCCGGUUUGAGGUGAGCUCGCGUCCCAUUAGGUAGUUGGUGAGGUAACGGCCCACCAAGCCUACGAUGGGUAGGGGUUCUGAGAGGAAGGUCCCCCACACUGGAACUGAGACACGGUCCAGACUCCUACGGGAGGCAGCAGUGAGGAAUAUUGGUCAAUGGUCGAGAGACUGAACCAGCCAUGCCGCGUGAAGGUCACGGCCCUAUGGGUCUUAAACUUCUUUUGUAAGGGAGCAAUAAGUCUCACGUGUGGGAUGAUGAGAGUACCUUACGAAUAAGCAUCGGCUAACUCCGUG
rnacentral:rRNA from 1 species